rnacentral:rRNA from 1 species
CUAAACCAUGCACCGAAGCUGCGGCAGCGACGCUUAUGCGUUGUUGGGUAGGGGAGCGUUCUGUAAGCCUGUGAAGGUGUGUCGUGAGGCAUGCUGGAGGUAUCAGAAGUGCGAAUGCUGACAUAAGUAACGAUAAAGCGGGUGAAAAGCCCGCUCGCCGGAAGACCAAGGGUUCCUGUCCAACGUUAAUCGGGGCAGGGUGAGUCGACCCCUAAGGCGAGGCCGAAAGGCGUAGUCGAUGGGAAACGGGUUAAUAUUCCCGUACUUGGUGUUACUGCGAAGGGGGGACGGAGAAGGCUAUGUUGGCCGGGCGACGGUUGUCCCGGUUUAAGCGUGUAGGCUGGUUUUCCAGGCAAAUCCGGAAAAUCAAGGCUGAGGCGUGACGACGAGGCACUACGGUGCUGAAGCAACAAAUGCCCUGCUUCCAGGAAAAGCCUCUAAGCAUCAGGUAACACGAAAUCGUACCCCAAACCGACACAGGUGGUCAGGUAGAGAAUACCAAGGCGCUUGAGAGAACUCGGGUGAAGGAACUAGGCAAAAUGGUGCCGUAACUUCGGGAGAAGGCACGCUGAUAUGUAGGUGAAGCGGUUUACCCGUGGAGCUGAAAUCAGUCGAAGAUACCAGCUGGCUGCAACUGUUUAUUAAAAACACAGCACUGUGCAAACACGAAAGUGGACGUAUACGGUGUGACGCCUGCCCGGUGCCGGAAGGUUAAUUGAUGGGGUCAGCGCAAGCGAAGCUCCUGAUCGAAGCCCCGGUAAACGGCGGCCGUAACUAUAACGGUCCUAAGGUAGCGAAAUUCCUUGUCGGGUAAGUUCCGACCUGCACGAAUGGCGUAAUGAUGGCCAGGCUGUCUCCACCCGAGACUCAGUGAAAUUGAACUCGCUGUGAAGAUGCAGUGUACCCGCGGCAAGACGGAAAGACCCCGUGAACCUUUACUAUAGCUUGACACUGAACAUUGAGCCUUGAUGUGUAGGAUAGGUGGGAGGCUUUGAAGUGUGGACGCCAGUCUGCAUGGAGCCGACCUUGAAAUACCACCCUUUAAUGUUUGAUGUUCUAACGUGGACCCGUGAUCCGGGUUGCGGACAGUGUCUGGUGGGUAGUUUGACUGGGGCGGUCUCCUCCUAAAGAGUAACGGAGGAGCACGAAGGUUGGCUAAUCCUGGUCGGACAUCAGGAGGUUAGUGCAAUGGCAUAAGCCAGCUUGACUGCGAGCGUGACGGCGCGAGCAGGUGCGAAAGCAGGUCAUAGUGAUCCGGUGGUUCUGAAUGGAAGGGCCAUCGCUCAACGGAUAAAAGGUACUCCGGGGAUAACAGGCUGAUACCGCCCAAGAGUUCAUAUCGACGGCGGUGUUUGGCACCUCGAUGUCGGCUCAUCACAUCCUGGGGCUGAAGUAGGUCCCAAGGGUAUGGCUGUUCGCCAUUUAAAGUGGUACGCGAGCUGGGUUUAGAACGUCGUGAGACAGUUCGGUCCCUAUCUGCCGUGGGCGCUGGAGAACUGAGGGGGGCUGCUCCUAGUACGAGAGGACCGGAGUGGACGCAUCACUGGUGUUCGGGUUGUCAUGCCAAUGGCACUGCCCGGUAGCUAAAUGCGGAAGAGAUAAGUGCUGAAAGCAUCUAAGCACGAAACUUGCCCCGA